ensembl:lncRNA
CAGCAGACUAACUGCAGGGCACUUCCUCCUAGCGGGAAGCCGAGUCUGGGCUGUCAACUGUGAAGGAGUACAGAAAGGUCAGGCAGCAAAGGGAUUCUAAAGGCCUGGAAUAAGCGAUUGCACAUUCUUUCUGGUGAUUUUUCUUCUAGUCCACCUCCCACCCCAAGCCCACAGCCUGCCUCAGCCCAACUGCAAUCUCAACUACUCCCUCACCUCCUUCCAAAGAGAAAGAUGUGAAAAAGCAAAAUCCGUCAGUCUGAUCUCACCUUCCCUUCCUCCAUUUAAAGGAGGGUUGGGGGUUGGGGAGAGCAUGCAACAAGGAAAUAGCUCUGGAAUCCAGAACAUCUGGCUUCUAUUCAGACCCAAUCACCAACCUUGGGAGCAUAUUGAAAACAUUUGGCUGUCUCAACAGUCUAAAAGAAGCUAUUUAUUUCAGACUCAACAACCAGCCCAACCAUAUGCUUCCAUUUGGAAACAAUUGGAGCUUGGGUCUCAACUUGUCCAUGACACCAGCGGACCUGUUGACUGACCAUGUGCCCCUGAACCAGCUCACGCCUCAGCUAGACAGUUUCAGAGUCUCCUACGAGGUAACCAAUCAAGCGUUCUGGAAGGACUUUUAGUGUCACGAAAGUGUCGUUGGAGUCCACUAUGACUUUCAGCUAAGUGGAAAAAGCAAAAUAAGAAAGUAUUUCUCCAUCUUAAUUUAACUAGAUGCUGGCUCCUCUGGGAGGCCUUUUCGGAAUGUUCCUCUUCCCCUGCAGUGCCCUCCCAGUCUGUGUUAGAUGCCACUCCUAUGUCCUCCGUGGUGCUUUUCACUUUCCUCCAAGGCAGCAUUCAGUGGGUAUUAUAAUUGUGUACACAUUUAUCUACCACUGUUUCUAAUUUGUGAAACAGGUAUUCUCUCUUUUACUGCUAAGUCCAUGGUACCUGCUGUAAUGUCUUUAACAUGAUAAGUUUUCAGUAAUGAAUGAACUAGGUAAAAAAUGUAUCUGUAAAGACAGAGUCAUAAUAGGACAUAGAAAAAUGAAAAGUUCCAUACAAUGCUGAUAUUAAGUGAUUUUGUUUUCUUUUUGUGAUUUGAAAUAUUAUUUAUGCUGUUCCAAAUAAAAAUAAGAUACACUUCUAAAAAAUUUUUUAAAUUAAACUUUUAUUUUAAGUUCAGGGGUACAUGUGCAGAUUUGUUACAUAGGUAAACUUGUGUCAUGGGGGUUUGUUGUACAGAUUAUUUCAUCACCCAGGUACUCAUUAGUUAUUUUUCCUGAUCCCUCCACCCUCUACCCUCUUAUAGGCCCCAGUGUGUUGUUCUCCUCUGUGUGUCCAUGUGGUCAUGUGUUCUCAUCAUUAGCUCCCAUUUAUAAGUGAGAACAUGUGGUAUUUGGUUUUCUGUUCCUGUGUUAGUUUGCUAAGGAUUGUAGCCUCCAGCUCUAUCCAUAUUCCCACAAAAGACAUGAUCUCAUUCUUUUUAAUGGCUGCAAAGUAUUCCAUGGUGUGUAUGUACCACGUGUUCUUUAUCCAGUCUACCAUUGAUGGGCAUUUAGGUUGAUUCCAUGUAUUUGCUAUUGUGAAUAGUGCUUCAGUGAACAUACGUGUGCAUGUGUCUGUAUUGUAGAAUGAUUUAUAUUCCUCUGAGUAUAUACCCAUUAAUGGGAUUGUUAAGUUGUAUGGUAUUUAUCUUUUUAGGUCUUUGAGGAAUUACCACACCAUCUUCCACAUGGUUGAACUAAUUUACAGUCCCACCAACAGUAUAUAAGCAUUACUUUUCCUCAGCAACCUCACCAGAAUCUGGUUUUUUUUUGUUUUUUUUUUUACUUUAAUAAUAGCCAUUCUGACUGGCAUGAGAUGGUAUCUCACUGUGGUUUUGAUUUACACUUCUCUAAUGGUCAGUGAUGUGGAUCUUUUUUUCAUAUUAUUGUUGACCAUAUGUAUGGCUUCUUUUGAAAAGUGUCUGAUCGUGUUCUUCGUCUACUGUUUAGUGGGGUUGUUUGCAUUUUUCUUGUAUAUUUGUUUUAAGUUCCUUAAAGAUGCUAGAUAUUAGAUCUUUGUCAGAUGCAGUUUGCAAAAAUUUUCUCCCAUUCUGCAGGUUGUCUGUUCACUCUGUUGAUAGUUUCAUUUGCUGUGCAGAAGCUCUUUAAUUUAAUUAGAUCCCAUUUGUCAAUUUUUGCUUUUGUUGCAAUUGCUUUUUGCAUCUUCAUCAUGAAAUCU